rnacentral:rRNA from 1 species
UAAAGCGUGCGCAGGCGGUUAUGUAAGACAGUUGUGAAAUCCCGGGCUCAACCUGGGAACCGCAUCUGUGACUGCAUAGCUAGAGUACGGUAGAGGGGGAUGGAAUUCCGCGUGUAGCAGUGAAAUGCGUAGAUAUGCGGAGGAACACCGAUGGCGAAGGCAAUCCCCUGGACCUGUACUGACGCUCAUGCACGAAAGCGUGGGGAGCAAACAGGAUUAGAUACCCUAGU